rnacentral:tRNA from 1 species
GGGGACAUGGUCUAGUGGUAUGACGGAUCCUUAGCAUCUCCCGGGAUAAUUGGAUCAGGUCCGGGGUUCGAUUCCCCGUGUCUCCA